ACGUAGUAUGACAUGCCCAUUUGGUAUUAAACUCUGAUUUAUUAUUUAUUAUUUAAUUGCUUUGGGAUAAUGGGGUGUUACAGAAAG
rnacentral:pre_miRNA from 1 species